rnacentral:rRNA from 1 species
UACGUAGGGGGCAAGCGUUGUCCGGAUUUACUGGGCGUAAAGAGCGUGUAGGCGGCCAAGCAGGUCCGUUGUGAAAACUGGAGGCUUAACUUCGGAAUUGCCUUUAAGACUGCAUCGCUUGAAUCGUGGAGAGGUGAGUGGAAUUCCGAGUGUAGAGGUGAAAUUCGUAGAUAUUCGGAAGAACACCAGUGGCGAAGGCGACUCACUGGACAUGUAUUGACGCUGAGGUACGAAAGCGUGGGGAGCAAACAGG